GCUCUGCAAUGUGCUGCCACUGCUGCUGUCACCGUGCGUGAAGUGAGCUCGGAGCACACCUACGGAGCCGGGCCACUUGGCAAAUUGAGCACGACACACUGCUUUGCAUCCCAGAUGGACUAGGUGGGGAGGAUGUGCACUUCAUUCAGCUGAGAAGGUGACAUAUUUGAUGUGUGCAGAGACACACCAAGUUAGAAAACUUAGAUGCCUUAAACAUGAUGACAAACUUCAGCCCAGAAUCAGUGCCUGUAAUAAGACAAUGAUGUCACUAGCUCUACAGACUAUUGUGGAAGAGGGAGUGGAGAUAUGAUGUGAAUAAAAACAGCUGUAAGAGAACAGGAUUUACCGAAGUGUUUUGAUUUUAAGUUUUUAACUGAAAAUGGAAGAUUUGGAAAGCACCACCUAGAUCAUCUCUGUCUUCCAAAGACAUUCUACAUUGUCAUCCACUGAAGAAAUGAUAAGGAACAGUGAUCAAAAUUGCCUAAAACAGAACAAUAUCUCUUGUUGCAUUUCUUGCUGAUAAAGACUGAGUGAUGUUAAGGAACAUUCUUUAAUUUGAAGGUACAGGCUGAAGUCUAAAGAAAUUGUGCUAAAGUGAGCCAUGCCUCAGCUUCUCUUUCAGAUGCUGUUUCUGCUGCCACAAUGUUUCACCCACUACUGAAUAUUCAUCUGGAAUCUAAAUAUUGAAGGACUGAUCUACUUUUGUUCGCAAUUGAAGAAGAAAAAUAUUGCAGGGGUCAGGGGUUGAUAAAUCAUCUGAUAGGAGUCACCACGGUUUUCUGACUGUGCACUUGACCACAUCAAAAGUGCAGAAAUUAGGCAGCAAGAAUGUUUUAGCAUAAACAAGACCCUACAGUGUGGGAGCCACGUGGAGCUGCCAAACCCAUCUCCUUCUCCUGACCUUAAAAGGAUGUCAAGAACUUCAAAUAGAUGAGAUGUUGCUGCAGCCUUGUCAGCAAGAGAACUGGCUUCAUAUGCCCCCCAAGGGCAGAAUGUUUUAUUCACAAUUGGAUAAAGGUGUUAUGAAGCCCUGAAAUUCACUGGGAGGUAGAAAUUUUAAAUCCUUUAUUCUUUACCUUCAGACCAUGCAGUUUCUCAUACUGCACAGGUCCAGCAGGAUCCAGACAAGUUUACUGAGUCCUUUACGUUGAGGUUAAUGUCUUCAUUUGAUUGUGUAUGCCAAAAAAAAGAUCGUGGACAGCUGACUGAAGCAGAUGAUUCUGUUAAUAUUACACAGCAGUGCCUUCUGAAUGGUUAAUGGUCAGAAGCUGCCACCUUAAAAUUAUUGUUGAAUGACAUCACUGAAGACUUAUCAAAGGCCCACACACUUCUUAAGUGGUAGCCAAGGUCAAGUGGAUAAUGACUUUGGAAGUGCCUGUGACAGCCCAUGGCAAUUCAAAUGACACUUGUCUCUGCAACUGGUCUAUGUUCUUUGCACAAAUUGUACCAAGCCUGGCUUUCUCUCAGACAACAGAGGCAGCUGACAGAAACCUCAGUGACCAUAGAGUCUUGUUGCCUCUGCCAGCCUCAGAGACUGAAAUAAAACCCUGAACUCCAGCCCCCAUUUGUACCCCACUGAAUGUUCUUCUGCCAUGGAAAGAAACAGCCAGAGCACUGUCUUGUGUUACCUCAAAAAUCCCUUAGUGCAGAACAAAAUACUGCCAAUGCUACUGCAUAUUCUGAAUCCAAUGUCUAGGUGUUGUUGAAAAGAGUAGAUAAUCCCACAUGUAAAACCAAGUUAGGUCAUCAUGAUCAUUAUCACCCUCCAUUGAAUACCAUAGGAAUAAGUAAUGAGCAGGCACUUGUUGCAAAGUGUUAGGGAGACAUGUCUUUUAUUCUUUAUGUGCAAUAAAAGAUGUGACUGGAAUGCAAGACAACAUUGGUUUGAUUCCUUGCACCUGGAGUUUGGGAGUUGUUUGUAUCAUUCUCCUUUUCAUGUCAAAUGUGGGUCUCCUCAUCCAGUUUCUUAAUUUUUACAAUGUGUGUUUUUUCACUUUUUAUUUAGUUAUGUCAUAGGUGAAGGUAUUUGAAGUAAUAUCUCAUUCCUUUUGUGAUUUAUUUACACAUGGCACACUCACACCAUAGCUGUAAUUGUCUGGAGAAUAAUCAUUCAGUGCAUGAAAACUCUCAGUGUAUGGCAUUUGUUUUCAUUCUGCAGGGGAUCUAAACCAAAACAAUCCCAAAACUUGAAAGAAAGAAAGAAAGAAAGAAAGAAAGAAAG